AAGGAAACGGCAACCCACUCCAGUGUUCUUGCCUGGAGAAUCCCAUGGACGGAGGGGCCUGGUGGGCUACAGUCUAUGGGGUUGCAAAGAGUCGGACAUGACUGAGCGACUAACACACACGUGUGGAUCCGAAGUGGCAAGGACUUCUCUGUGGCACCGUUACUGAUACUCUGAAGGUUUAUGACCUGUGGGUUCCAUACACUACACCGAGGCACCACCAGCUCUGCCAAAGUGUCUUUCCCAUUCCUGGAAGGCUGCUUGGAAAGGAGGGCAUUGUAGGAAACACAGCAGCCUGUACUUCCGGAGUUUUGUUUCUAUGAAGAAGGUCAAGGUCAGUUUCUGGCUGUAAAAUGUAGAAGCUGACCUACAAACCAAGAGGAAGUACCAGCUCUCCAAUUGGUGCAGGUACUAUUAUAAGAAUUGAGUCUACAUUGAUGAACACAACCAACAGGGGGCCCCUAUUUGGGCUUUUACUAUUCUGUAGAGGAGUUUUACUUUGCCUAUAAAGGUCAGUAUAGUCAAAGUUAUGGUUUUCCCAGUAGUUAUGUAUGGACGUGAGAGCUGGACAAUAAAAAAGGCUGAGCGCUGAAGAAUUGAUACCUUUGAGCUGUG